AACGUAGGAGGCAAGCGUUAUCCGGAUUUACUGGGCGUAAAGCGCGUGCAGGUGGCCACGCAAGUUGGAUGUGAAAGCUCCCGGCUCAACUGGGAGAGGUCGUUCAAUACUGCGUGGCUCGAGGGUGGUGGAGGGAGGUGGAAUUCCGGGUGUAGUGGUGAAAUGCGUAGAUAUCCGGAGGAACACCAGUGGCGAAAGCGGCCUUCUGGACCAUGCUUGACACUCAGACGCGAAAGCUAGGGUAG
rnacentral:rRNA from 1 species